UGGGGAAUUUUGGACAAUGGGGGAAACCCUGAUCCAGCCAUCCCGCGUGUGCGAUGAAGGCCUUCGGGUUGUAAAGCACUUUUGGCAGGAAAGAAACGUCGCGGGUUAAUACCCCGCGAAACUGACGGUACCUGCAGAAUAAGCACCGGCUAACUACGUGCCAGCAGCCGCGGUAAUACGUAGGGUGCAAGCGUUAAUCGGAAUUACUGGGCGUAAAGCGUGCGCAGGCGGUUCGGAAAGAAAGAUGUGAAAUCCCAGAGCUUAACUUUGGAACUGCAUUUUUAACUACCGGGCUAGAGUGUGUCAGAGGGAGGUGGAAUUCCGCGUGUAGCAGUGAAAUGCGUAGAUAUGCGGAGGAACACCGAUGGCGAAGGCAGCCUCCUGGGAUAACACUGGCGCUCAUGCACGAAAGCGUGGGGAGCAAACAGGAUUAGAUACCCUGGUAGUCCACGCCCUAAACGAUGUCAACUAGCUGUUGGGGCCUUCGGGCCUUGGUAGCGCAGCUAACGCGUGAAGUUGACCGCCUGGGGAGUACGGUCGCAAGAUUAAAACUCAAAGGAAUUGACGGGGUCAUAGCUGUUUCCU
rnacentral:rRNA from 1 species